UGGAUAACCUGCCCUCGGCACCGGGAUAGCCCGAGGAAACUCGGAUUAAUACCGGAUAGCCCUUCCGACUCCCGAGUCGGUCCGAAAAGAUAGCUUCGGCCUCUGGCCGAGGAUGGGUCCGCGGCGGAUUAGCUUGUUGGUGGGGUAAUGGCCUACCAAGGCAUCGAUCCGUAGCUGGUCUGAGAGGACGAUCAGCCACACUGGGACUGAGACACGGCCCAGACUCCGUACGGGAGCAG
rnacentral:rRNA from 1 species